AAUCAUUAAUAUCACAAAUGUUUUGAAAUUGAACGCCGCGCCGUAUGUUUACAUUUUCGGCGGAACGUUCGACAACGAAGGCAACGCGGUGGGGGAAAUCACGCGAUUCCUUCGUUUGCCUUUCAGUAGAUUUCGGCCAUUUCUUGUGUGCGCGUCUUUCUUCGUUAAAUUAUGCGUAAUAAUUAAAAUAAACGUUUUAACGUUUUUUUUUUGCGUAAUAUAAUGUUGUGCAAUACAUUUGAAUACUAGUUUUCGUGAAUUUUGCGUUUGUUUUACAAAUACGCGUGUUUUUUUUCGUUAAAAUCGAUUUUUAGUAAUUGAUUUUUAGUAAUAGAAGCUUCUUAACGUAUUUUUAUUGCGCAGUAUACUGUUUCGCGGUGAUCGUAUCCAUCUUGAUUUUUUGAAUUUGUGAAUUUUGCAAUCUUUUCAUGUAUACACGUGUUUUUUUUCGUUAAAAUCGAUUUUUAGUAAUUACUAGAAGCUUCUUGAUGAUUUUUCGUGCUUAGUAUAGCACGUGUUUCGUAAUAAUCGUGUUCAUCUUGACUAGAGUUCGUGAAUUUUGCGAUCGUUUUAUGUAUAUACAUGUUUUUUUCCCGUUAAAAGCGGUAUUUAGUAAUUGAAAUAAAUAUUUUAACGUAUCUUUAUGCGUAGUAUAAUGCGUAUAAUAUAUUUCGCGAUAAGUGCAUCCAUUUUGAGAGCUGGUAUCAUGGCGGCAUCAUGGCGGCAUCAUCGUAGCAUCAUCGUGGCAUUAUCGACUCUAUGUUGGCGAAAUUUACGUGCAUAACCUCUACGAAGGAAUCUACAUUGGUGGAGGUGAAAGAAUAUAAGGAAUCGCUGCAGGCAGACGGAAGACAGAUCAGAAAAGUUUCGCGAGCCAAUCACCGGGGCUGGAUAUCGGAUUCAACGAUAAAAAUGACAAAGUCCUGAAAGUUUCUUCUUCUUCUCCUCUCCCUUCUCCCUGUCGCGCAUAGUCGCGAUUCCUUUCGAAUACGUCGUCGACCUUUCUAGAUCGAUGGACACUUGGGAAAGAAAUGCUUUGAAAGUGUACACUCGCUUCAUUCGAAAGAAGCAAAAAAAGUUAGAUAUCCUUUACAGAGAAGAAGUAGAAAAUUAUUUCGAUAUUUUAAUUUUCAAUAUUUUCCAAUAUUUCGAACAUUUUCCGAAUUCUAUAUUACGUUCAUUAUUUUUUAUCGUUAUUCGUUAUUUUUUUUCGUUAUCAUCGAGAAAAAAAUUAUAUACUUACCUCGAAAUCAUUUCUCUGAAAUUAAAAUCAAGAACGAAGGGAGGUAGGAAAAAAGAAACGAUCAGUUUUCUAACCGGUCUCAUUUAUUUGGUAACUCAUAGAUAUACACGUUAACGUUCUCUUAAACCUAUAGAGAAAUGAAAACGCAGGAGGACCGUGUGUCCCGUUUCACCCCCGAUUCGAUCUUUCAGAGGGGUGAAAAUCGAAAAUAGAGAGAAAAAAAAAAAAGAAAAGAUUAAAAAA